AUACCCAAACAGCUAGCCCCCCUCCCCCCAAAAAAUGCACCUUGACCCCCCCCCCCCAAACCAUUUUCCCACCUAAGUAUAGGAGAUAGAAAAGGACCUUCCGACGCCAUAGAAAAAGUACCGCAAGGGAAAGCUGAAAGAAUAAAUGAAAAAAUGUAGUUAAGGCAAGAAAAGCAGAGAUUACCCCUCGUACCUUUUGCAUCAUGAUUUAGCCAGCACCCCCAAGCAAAGAGCCCUUUAUGUUUGAACCCCCGAAACUGAGGCGAGCUACUCCAAGUCAGCUUAUAUCUGAGCAAAUCCGUCUCUGUCGCAAAAGAGUGGAAAGAAUUUCGAGUAGAGGUGACAAGCCUACCGAGCCCAGUUAUAGCUGGUUGUCUGGGAAAUGAAUAGAAGUUCAACCCUUUAGUUUUUUCAACCAAAGAGGACCCUCCCGCCCACGUACAAAAGAAACUAAAAGAGCUACUCAAGAGAGGAACAGCUCUCUUGAGAAAAGAUACAACUUUACAAAGAAGAUUAAAGACCCUAAUCAUAAAGGAACACACCCAAGUGGGCUUAAAAGCAGCCACCUUAAUAAACAGCGUUAAAGCUUAAAUAUAUUACCCCCCCCCCCCCCAUUCCGACAAAACCAUCUUACAUCUCUUUCCAUACCAGACCUUCCCAUGCACACAUGGGAGCGAUCCUGCUAAUAUGAGUAAUAAGAGGCCCAAGCCCCUCUCCCUACAUCCGUGUACGCCAGAACCAACCCAGACUGAAUAUUAACGCCCCCACAAGAGAGCAUUAGCACAACACUAAAAAACAAGAGAACCCCCUAACAAAUAGCGUUAGCCCAACACAGGAGUGUCCCAGGAAAGACAAAAAGAAAAAGAAGGAACUCGGCAAACACCCGGUCUCGCCUGUUUACCAAAAACAUCGCCUCUUGCCAUACCCUGUAUAAGAGGUCCCGCCUGCCCUGUGACAUAAAAUUUAACGGCCGCGGUAUUCUGACCGUGCAAAGGUAGCGUAAUCACUUGUCUUUUAAAUAAAGACCCGUAUGAAUGGCAUCACGAAGACCAAGCUGUCUCCUUUUUCCAGUCAAUGAAAUUGAUCUGCCCGUGCAGAAGCGAGCAUAAUAACAUAAGACGAGAAGACCCUAUGGAGCUUUAGACAUAAGCAACUCACUUUAAGUUCAUGAGAUAAUAUGAACCAAAACACAAGUGCCCCCCCCCCUGCUUCAUUGUCUUUGGUUGGGGCGACCACGGAGAAACAAAAAACCCCCGAGAGGAAAGGGGACCCUAUACCCACCCCCUUAUACAAGAGCAACAGCCCUAAUAAACAGAAAAUCUGACCUAUAAGAUCCGGCCCCGCCGAUCAACGGACCGAGUUACCCUAGGGAUAACAGCGCAAUCCCCUUCCAGAGCCCAUAUCGACAAGGGGGUUUACGACCUCGAUGUUGGAUCAGGACAUCCUAAUGGUGCAACCGCUAUUAAGGGUUCGUUUGUUCAACGAUUAAAGUCCUACGUGAUCUGAGUUCAGACCGGAGUAAUCCAGGUCAGUUUCUAUCUAUGGAAUGCUCUUUUACAGUACGAAAGGACCUAAAAGAGAGGGCCCCUAUCCUAUGCAAGCCCUCCCCCUAGACUAAUGAAAUCAAAUAAUGUAAAUAAAAGGACAUUUCAUUUUUAAAAGCAGAAGAUUAGCUGCAACUUA
rnacentral:rRNA from 1 species